rnacentral:rRNA from 1 species
CAUGUAGAUGGUCUGAUUUGUCGGAUAUAAAAUAUCCCGGCUUAACCGGGAAAGGUUAUCCGAAACGGUCAGGCUAGAGUUUGGGAGAGGGAAGCGGAACUCCCGGUGUAGCGGUGAAAUGCGUAGAUAUCGGGAGGAACACCGGUGGCGAAGGCGGCUUUCUAACCCAAAACUGACAUCGAAAUGCGAAAGCUAGGGGAGCAAACA